GCAUCCGUAGCUCUGCUGGAUAGAGUACUCGGCUACGAACCGAGCGGUCGGAGGUUCGAAUCCUCCCGGAUGCACCA
rnacentral:tRNA from 2 species